UAGGGAAUAUUAGUUAAUGUGCGAAAGCGCGAACUAACAACGCCGCGUGUGCGAUGAAGGCCUUCGGGUUGUAAAGCACUUUUCCAAGGGACGAGGAAGGACGGUACCUUGGGAAUAAGCAUCGGCUAACUACGUGCCAGCAGCCGCGGUAAAACGUAGGAUGCAAGCGUUAUCCGGAUUUACUGGGCGUAAAGCGCGUGUAGGCGGUUCGGUAAGUUGGAUGUGAAAGCUCCUGGCUUAACUGGGAGAGGUCGUUCAAUACUGCCGAGCUUGAGGAUGGUAGAGGGAGGUGGAAUUCCGAGUGUAGUGGUGAAAUGCGUAGAUAUUCGGAGGAACACCAUUGACGAAAGCGGCCUCCUGGACCAUUUCUGACGCUCAGACGCGAAAGCUAGGGUAGCA
rnacentral:rRNA from 1 species